rnacentral:rRNA from 1 species
GACGAACCGUGCGAACGUUGUUCGGAAUCACUGGGCUUAAAGGGCGCGUAGGCGGCCGGGUUGGUCGUGGGUGAAAUCCCCCAGCUUAACUGGGGAACUGCCUACGAUACUGCCUGGCUCGAGGGAGGAAGGGGCGGUCGGAACUGUCGGUGGAGCGGUGAAAUGCGUUGAUAUCGACAGGAACGCCGGUGGCGAAAGCGGACCGCUGGCCCUCUUCUGACGCUGAGGCGCGAAAGCCAGGGGAGCGAACAGG